rnacentral:lncRNA from 1 species
UGCUGAGCUUAAAUUUUUAAUAUAUUUCCGCAUUUGGCGGAGUGUAUUAUUUUCAUAAUUUGAUGUUCGAUUGAAUCUUUUUCUCUUGUUUAGUUUUCCUCCCAUUUUCAGGUUUCACUUUUGAGAUGAAUUGCAUGUUUUAUUGAUUGCAACUAUAAGAGAUCCAUGCUUAUGACAAUGUUUUAUGUGCUGUGUAGCCUUGCUACAUGUUGGGGUUAAUGUUGAUUACAAAGAUUUUAGAUGACUUCGUCAAAGAUUGUCAGCUGAAUUGAAGGACAGAUUGAUGAGAUCUGUUGGCUAUUUUUGUACAAAGGUUAUGCUUGCAUUCUAGCAAAAAUUACCUGUUUGCUUAUUUACUUGUACAUAUUUAUCUUGAAGAGGAAAAACUAUCAGAACAAGAAAC